rnacentral:lncRNA from 1 species
UUAACAUAUAAGAAAAGAUUGGAUUUUUUUUUUUUUUGAGAGAAAAAGAUAACAAGUUACCUAUUUUUUUCAUAUUUUUCAGAAAUAAACUCAGUUAGAAAUAUGAAGCAAUAAAACUUCAAACUUGGCAUCUCGAAUACUAAUUAGAUAUGGUCGGUAAUCUAUUGAGUAUCUGUUUGAAUAUAUUGAAUCUAUUUGUUUACUAAAGUAUUAUCUAAAUCGUGCUAUUAGAAUAAUGCUUAUUCGUAGUCAUGUAAUAGAAAUUGC